AGUGAACGCUGGCGGCGUGCCUAAUACAUGCAAGUCGAACGGAGUGGCGCACGGGUGGGUAAUGUAUAGCUAAUCUGCCCUACACUAGAGGACAAAAGUUGAAAACGGCUGCUAAUACUCUAUAGUGUAGGAUGAGGGUAUAUUGUAUCAGCUAGUUGGUGAGGUACUGGCUCACCAAGGCGAUGACGCAUAACUGGUCUGAUAGGAUGAUCAGUCACACUGGAACGGAGACACGGUCCAGACUCCUACGGGAGGCAGCAGUAGGGAAUAUUGCUCAAUGGGCGAAACCCUGAAGCAGCAACGCCGCGUGGAGGAUGACACUUUUCGGAGCGUAAACGCCUUUUGUUAGGGAAGCGGUACCUAACGAAUAAGCACCGGCUAACUCCGUGCCAGCAGCCGCGGUAAUUC
rnacentral:rRNA from 1 species